UGCGUAGGUGGUGAGGUAAGUCGGAUGUGAAAGCUCGGAGCUCAACUCCGAAAUGGCAUUGGAAACUACCUUGCUCGAGGGUUGGAGGGGGGACUGGAAUACUUGGUGUAGCAGUGAAAUGCGUAGAUAUCAAGUGGAACACCAGUGGCGAAGGCGAGUCCCUGGACAACUCCUGACACUGAGGCACGAAAGCUGGGAGCAAACA
rnacentral:rRNA from 1 species